UACAGAGGGGGCAAGCGUUGUUCGGAAUUACUGGGCGUAAAGGGCGCGUAGGCGGCCUUCUAAGUCGAACGUGAAAUCCCCGGGCUCAACCCGGGAACUGCGUCCGAUACUGGAAGGCUUGAAUCCGGGAGAGGGAUGUGGAAUUCCAGGUGUAGCGGUGAAAUGCGUAGAUAUCUGGAGGAACACCGGUGGCGAAGGCGACAUCCUGGACCGGUAUUGACGCUGAGGCGCGAAAGCCAGGGGAGACAAAGCAGG
rnacentral:rRNA from 1 species